GGCAGCGGGGGAAAGCUUGCUUUCCUGCCGGCGAGUGGCGAACGGGUGAGUAAUACAUCGGAACGUGCCCUGUAGUGGGGGAUAACUAGUCGAAAGAUUAGCUAAUACCGCAUACGACCUGAGGGUGAAAGUGGGGGACCGCAAGGCCUCAUGCUAUAGGAGCGGCCGAUGUCUGAUUAGCUAGUUGGUGGGGUAAAGGCCUACCAAGGCGACGAUCAGUAGCUGGUCUGAGAGGACGAUCAGCCACACUGGGACUGAGACACGGCCCAGACUCCUACGGGAGGCAGCAGUGGGGAAUUUUGGACAAUGGGCGAAAGCCUGAUCCAGCAAUGCCGCGUGUGUGAAGAAGGCCUUCGGGUUGUAAAGCACUUUUGUCCGGAAAGAAAUGGCUCUGGUUAAUACCCGGAGUCGAUGACGGUACCGGAAGAAUAAGGACCGGCUAACUACGUGCCAGCAGCCGCGGUAAUACGUAGGGUCCAAGCGUUAAUCGGAAUUACUGGGCGUAAAGCGUGCGCAGGCGGUUGUGCAAGACCGAUGUGAAAUCCCCGGGCUUAACCUGGGAAUUGCAUUGGUGACUGCACGGCUAGAGUGUGUCAGAGGGAGGUAGAAUUCCACGUGUAGCAGUGAAAUGCGUAGAGAUGUGGAGGAAUACCGAUGGCGAAGGCAGCCUCCUGGGAUAACACUGACGCUCAUGCACGAAAGCGUGGGGAGCAAACAGGAUUAGAUACCCUGGUAGUCCACGCCCUAAACGAUGUCAACUAGUUGUUGGGGAUUCAUUUCCUUAGUAACGUAGCUAACGCGUGAAGUUGACCGCCUGGGGAGUACGGUCGCAAGAUUAAAACUCAAAGGAAUUGACGGGGACCCGCACAAGCGGUGGAUGAUGUGGAUUAAUUCGAUGCAACGCGAAAAACCUUACCUACCCUUGACAUGCCACUAACGAAGCAGAGAUGCAUUAGGUGCUCGAAAGAGAAAGUGGACACAGGUGCUGCAUGGCUGUCGUCAGCUCGUGUCGUGAGAUGUUGGGUUAAGUCCCGCAACGAGCGCAACCCUUGUCUCUAGUUGCUACGAAAGGGCACUCUAGAGAGACUGCCGGUGACAAACCGGAGGAAGGUGGGGAUGACGUCAAGUCCUCAUGGCCCUUAUGGGUAGGGCUUCACACGUCAUACAAUGGUGCAUACAGAGGGUUGCCAAGCCGCGAGGUGGAGCUAAUCCCA
rnacentral:rRNA from 1 species